rnacentral:misc_RNA from 1 species
AGCAAGAGCAGGUCGUGAAUCCAUGGGAGGUGUCGGCCAAAGACGGAGGGAAGAUCGACUACGACAAACUAAUCGACAAAUUCGGAUGCCAGAGGCUCGACCACUCGCUAAUUGACCGCGUCCGCCGCCUGACCGGCCGCGCCCCCCACGUCUUCCUGCGCCGUGGCGUCUUCUUCGCCCACAGGGACUUCAAUGACAUAUUGGAUGCUUACGAGCGAGGCGAGAAAUUUUAUCUCUACACUGGCAGAGGCCCCUCCUCUGAAUCUCUGCAUUUGGGUCAUCUAAUUCCGUUUAUGUUUACAAGAUACCUUCAAGAGGCGUUUAGGGUUCCGCUUGUUAUACAGCUUACUGAUGAUGAAAAGUGUAUGUGGAAAAAUCUGUCUGUGGAGGAGAGCAAAAGACUGGCCCGUGAAAAUGCUAGAGAUAUUAUUGCUUGUGGAUUUGACAUCACUAGAACUUUCAUUUUCCAAGAUUUUGAGUAUGUUGGUGGUUCCUUCUACAAUAACAUGGUGAAGGUUGAAAAGUGUGUCACAUAUAA